UACGUAGGGUGCAAGCGUUAAUCGGAAUUACUGGGCGUAAAGCGUGCGCAGGCGGUUUUGUAAGUUUGUCGUGAAAGCCCCGGGCUCAACCUGGGAAUUGCGAUGAAGACUGCAAGGCUUGAAUCUGGCAGAGGGGGGUAGAAUUCCACGCGUAGCAGUGAAAUGCGUAGAGAUGUGGAGGAACACCGAUGGCGAAGGCAGCCCCUGGGUCAAGAUUGACGCUCGAUGCACGAAAGCGUGGGGAGCAAACAGG
rnacentral:rRNA from 1 species